CUACGGGAGGCAGCAGUGAGGAAUAUUGCACAAUGGGGGGAACCCUGAUGCAGCAACGCCGCGUGGAGGAUGACGCAUUUCGGUGUGUAAACUCCUUUUAUAUGUCAAGAAAAUGACGGUAGCAUAUGAAUAAGCACCGGCUAACUCCGUGCCAGCAGCCGCGGUAAUACGGAGGGUGCAAGCGUUACUCGGAAUCACUGGGCGUAAAGGACGCGUAGGCGGGUUGGAAAGUCAGGUGUGAAAUCCUACAGCUUAACUGUAGAACCGCACUUGCAACUUCUAAUCUAGAGUAUGGGAGGGGGAGAUGGAAUUCGUGGUGUAGGGGUGAAAUCCGUAGAUAUCACUAGGAAUACCUAAAGCGAAGGCGAUCUCCUGGAACAUUACUGACGCUAAGGCGUGAAAGCGUGGGGAGCAAACAGGAUUAGAUACCCCCGUAGUC
rnacentral:rRNA from 1 species